rnacentral:rRNA from 1 species
UACCAGACUCCUACGGGAGGCAGCAGUGAGGAAUAUUGGUCAAUGGCCGAGAGGCUGAACCAGCCAAGUCGCGUGAGGGAAGACGGCCCUACGGGUUGUAAACCUCUUUUGUCGGGGAGCAAAGCGAACCACGUGUGGUUCAUUGAGAGUGCCCGAAGAAAAAGCAUCGGCUAACUCCGUGCCAGCAGCCGCGGUAAUACGGAGGAUGCGAGCGUUAUCCGGAUUUAUUGGGUUUAAAGGGUGCGCAGGCGGUCUGUUAAGUCAGCGGUCAAAGCCCGGGGCUCAACCCCGGCCCACCGUUGAAACUGGCAGUCUCGAGUUGGAGAGAAGUAUGCGGAAUGCGCGGUGUAGCGGUGAAAUGCAUAGAUAUCACGCAGAACUCCGAUUGCGAAGGCAGCAUACCGGCGCGCAACUGACGCUCAUGCACGAAAGCGUGGGUAUCGAACAGGAUUAGAUACCCGUGUAAAA